rnacentral:lncRNA from 1 species
GGAAGGUGUGACGAAGCCUGGGUCCCUGUCCCUAAGGGGUCCUGAGGCUCUGGGCCCCGCCCUGAGUCCAUGACUGGCCUCCGCUCUGUGAGGAGAGCAGGCCCUGCAUCCUCAGCAACCAGUGCUCCCUCCAGCCUCCGCGCAAUUCAGCUGCAGCUGCUGCACAGACCCACAGAAGCCACCCUCCCUCGGAACCAGCGCCCGAUGAGAAGGUGGGACCUGCGCUCCUCCACACCAAGCCAGGUGCUGGGGUAAGCGUAGGAGGCGACACGCAGAAUGGGAGGGUGGCACCGCCCACGCCUCCGUCCCAGGACCAGCCCCUUCCUGAGAGCACAGGGGCUGGGGUCGCUAGGAGCAAUGCCCAGUGGGGGAUGACUGGUGAACCCAGAGAAAAGAUGACAGUGAACCCAGAGAGAAGAUGACUGUGAACCCAGGGAAAAGAUGACAGUGAACCCAAAGAAAAGAUGACAGUGCACCCAGAGAAGAGAUGAUGGUGAACCUAGAAAAAACACAAUGGUGAACCCAGUGAAAACAUGAACGUGAACCUAGAUAAAGGUGACAGUGAACCCAGAGAAAAGGUGACAGUGAACCCAGAGGAGAAAAAAUGAUAAGGCACCCAGAGAAAAGAUGACAGUGAACCCAGAGAAAAAAUGACGGUGAACCGAGAGAAAAGACAAUGGGGAAACACGAGAAAAGAUGAUGGUGAACCCAGAGAAAAGACGACAGUGAACCCAGAGAAAAGAUGACAGUGAACUCAGAGAAAAGAAGACAGUGAACCCAGAGUACAGGCGACAGUGAACCCAGAGAAAAGAGACAGUGCACCCAGAGAAAAGAUGACGGUGAACACAGAAGAAAUAUGACAGUGAAACCAGAGAAAAGAUGACAGAGAAUCCAGAGAAAAGAUGACGGUGCACCCAGAGAAAAUACAAAAAUGAACUCAGAGAAGAGAUGAUGGUGAACCCAGAGAAAAGACAACAAUGAAUCAAGAGAAAAUACAAUAGUAAGCCAAGAAAAAAGAUGACAGUGCACCCAGAAAAAAGAGGAUGGUGAACCCAGAGAAAAUUCAAAGUUGAACCCAGAAAAUAAAGGACGGUGAACCCAGAGAAAAUUCAAUGGUGAACCCCCAAAAAGAUGACAGUAAAACCAGAGAAAAGACAAUGGUGCACCCAGAGAAAAUAUAAAAGGGGACCCAGAGAAGAGAUGACAGUGAAUGCAGAGAAAAGAUGACAGUGAACCCAGAGAAAAGAUGAUGGUGGACCCAGAGAAAAGAUGAUGGUGAACCCAGAGAAAAGAUGAUGGUGAACCCAGAGAAAAGAUGAUGGUGAACUCAGAGAAAAGACGAAGGUGAACCCAAACAAAAUAUAACAGUGAACCCAGAAAAAUACAACAGUGAACCCAGAAAAAAGAGACAAUGCACCCAGAGAAGAGACAACAGUGAACCCAGAAAAAAUACGAAAGCGAACCCAGAGGAAAGACAAUGGUGAAUCCAAAAAGACGACAGUGAACCCAGAGUAAAAAUGAUGGUGCACCCAGAGAAAAGACAACAGUGCACUCAGACAAAAUACAAUAGAGAACCCAGAGAAAAGACGACAGUGAAACCAGGGAAAAUACAACAGUGAACCCAGAGAUAAGAUGACAGUGCACCCACAGAAAAGACGACAAUGAAUCAAGAGAAAAGAUGACAGUGCACCCAGAGAAUAGACAACGGUUAACCCAGAGAAAAAAACCACAGUGAACUCAGAGAAAAGACGACCGUGCACCCAAAGAAAAGACGACAGUGAGCCCAGAGAGAAGAUGACAGUGAACCCAGAUAAAAGAUGACAGUGAACCCAAAGAAAAGACGAUGGUGGACCCAGGGAAAAAACGAGAGUGAACACAGAAAAAAAACGAUGGUGAAGCCAGAGAAAAAAUGACAGCACAUCAAGAGAAAAGACAAUAGUGAACCCAGAGAAAAGAUGAUGAUGCAUAAAGAUAAAAGACCACAGUGAACCCAGAGAACUGACAACGGUGAACACAAAUAAUAUCCUACAUUGAACCCAGAGAAAAGAUGACAGUGAACCUGGAGAAAAGAAGACGGUGCACCCAGAGAAAAUACAACAGCGAACGCAGAGAAAAGAUGACGGUUUACCCCAAGAAAAUACAACAGUGCACCAAGAGGAAAGGUGACAGUACACUCAAAGAAAGGAAGGCAUUGCAUUAAGAGAAUAUUAGACAGUGAACUCAGAGAAAAGAUGUCAGUGAACCCACAGAAAAGAUGACGGUGCACCCAGAAAAAAUAUGACAGUGAACCCAGAGAAUUGACAAUGGUGAGCCAAGAGAAAAUAUGAAGGGGCACCCAGAGAAAAGACGAUGUUGAACCCAGAAAAAAAUAUGACAGUGAACCCAAGAAAAGAUGACAGUGUACCCAGAGAAAAGACAACAGUGAAUCCAGAAAGCAUAUGAUGGUAAACCCAGAGAAAAAAUGAUGGUGCACCCAGAUAAUAUUCAAUAGUGAACCCAAAGAAAAGAUGACGGUGAACCCAGAGAAAAGACGACAAUGAACCCAGAAAAAAGACUACAGUGAACCCACAGAAAAGACAACAGUGCACCCAGAGAAAAUACAAUGGUGAAACCAGAGAAAAGAGGACAGUUACUCAGAGAAAAUAUGACGGUGCACCAAGAGAAAAGAUGACAGGGCAACAGAGAAAUGAUGACAGUGGACCCAGAGAAAAGAUGACAGUGGACCCAGAGAAAAGAUGACAGUGAACUCGGAGAAAAGACAAUGGUGAACCCAGAGAAAAGAUGACAGUGAACCCACAGAAAGGACAAAGUUGCACCGAGAGAAAAAAUGAUGGUGAACUCAGAGAAAAGAUGACAGUAAACCCAGAGAAAAGAUGAUGGUGAACCAAGAGAAAAGAUGAUAGUGCACCCAGAGAAAAGAUGAUGGUGUACCCAGAGAAAAGAUGAUGGUGUACUCAGGGAAAAGACAAUGUUGAACCCAGAGAAAAGAUGACAGUGAACCAAAAAAAGACAAAGGUGUACCCAGAGAAAAGACGAUGGUGCACCCAGAGAAAAGGCAACAGUGAGCCCAGAGAAAAGACAACAAUGAACGCAGAGAAAAGAUGAUGGAGAUCCCAGAGAAAAGAUGACAGUGAAUACAGAGAAAAGACAAUGGUGAACCCAGAGAAAUGACAACGGUGAACCCGGAGAAAAGAUGACACUGAACCCAGAGAAAAGACGACAGUGAAACCAAAGAAAAGAUGAUGGUGAACCCAGAAAAAAGAUGACAGUGAACCCAGAGAAAAGACAGUGAACCCAAAGAAAACAUGAUGGUGAACCCAGAGAAUCAACAACGGUCAACCAGGAGAAAAGAUGACAAUGCACCCAGAGAAAAGAUGACAGUGAACCCAGAGAAAAGAUGAUGAUGGACCCAGAGAAAAGACAACAGUGAACCCAGAGAAAAGACGACGGUGGUCCCAGAGAAAAGAUGACAGUGAACCCAGAGAAAAUAAAACAGUGAAUCCAUACAAAUGAUGACAGUUCACCCAGAGAAAAGGCGACAGUGAACACAGAGAUAAAUUGACAGUGAACCUAAAGAAAAGAUGACAGUGAACUCACAGUUUAAAGGAUGGUGCACCCAGAAUAUAUGACAGCGAACCCAAAGUUUCAACAAUGGAGAACCCAGAGGAAAGACAACGGUGCACCCAGAGAAGAGAAGAUGGUGAUCCCAGAUAAUUGACAAUGGUGAAUCCAGAGAAAAUAUGACAGUGAACACCGAGAAAAGAUAACAGUAAACCCAGAUGAAAGGGGACGAUGCACCCCAAGAAAAUACAGCAGUAAACCCACAUAAAAGGUGACGGAGAGCCCAGAGAAAAGGACAGUGAACCCAGAGAAAAGACAAAGGUGCACCUAGAGAAAAGAUGACUGUGAACCCAGAGAAAAGAUGACAGUGAACACAGACAGAAAAAGACAGUGAACACAGACAGAAAGACAGUGAACCUGGAGAAAAUACAACAGUGAACCCAGAGAAAAGACAACAGUGAAACCAGAAAAAAGACGACAGUGAACCCAGAAAAAAUACAACAGUGAACCCAGAGAAAAGAAGAAUGUGAACCUAAGGAAAACAUGACAGUGAACCCAGAGAUAAUACAACAGUGAACCCAGAGAAAAGUCAACAUUGAAACCAGAGAAAUGAAGAUGGUGAACCCAGAGAAAAGACGAUGGUGCACCCGAGAAAAGAUGAUGCUGCACCCAGAAAAAAGACGACAGCGAACCUAGAGAAAAGACAAUGAUGAACCCAGAGAAAAGAUGACAGUUAGCCCAGAGAAAAGAUGGCAGUGAACACAAAGAAAAGGCGAUGAUGCACCCAGACAAAACAUGACAGUGUACCCAGAUAAUAUACGAUAGUGAACACAGAGAAAAAACAUCAGUGAACCCAGAGAAAAGACGAUGCUGCACCCAGAGAAAACACAACAGUGAACCCAGAGAAAAGAUGAAGGUGCACCCAGAUGAAAGAUAACAGUGAACCCAGAGAAAAGAUGACAGUGAACCCAGAGAAAAGAUGACAGUGAACCCAGAGAAAAGAUAACAGUGAACCCAGAGAAAAUACAACAAUGAACCCAGAGAAAAUACAACAGUGAACCCAGAGGAAAAACGACAGUAAACCCAGAGAAUGUAUGACAGUGAACCCAGAGAAAAGAUAACAGUGAACCCAGAGAAAAUACAACAAUGAAUCCAAAGAAAAUACAACAGUGAACCCAGAGGAAAAACGACAGUAAACCCAGAGGAAAAACGACAGUAAACCCAGAGAAUCUAUGACAGUGAACCCAGAGAAAAGAUGAUGGUGAACCCAGAGAAAAGACGAAAGGGCACCCUGACCGUGAACCCAAGAAAAUACGACAGUGAAGCCAGAGAAAAGACGAUGGCAAACCCAGAGAAAAUAUGACAGUGAACCCAGAGAAAAAACAUCAGUGUACCCAGAGAAUAGAUGACAGUGCACCCAGAAAAAAUACAACAGUAAACCCAGAGGAAAGAUGACAGUGCAUCCAGAGAAAAGACGAUGGUGCGCCCAGAAUAAAGACGACAGUGAAUCCAGAGAAAAGAUGACGGUGAACACAUACAAAAUACAACAGUGAUUCCAGAGAAAAGACAAGAGUGAACCCAGAGAAAAGACAACAGUGAACCCAGAGAAAAGACAACGGUUCACCCAGAGAAAAGACAACGGUUCACCCAGAGAAAAGACGAUGGUGAACCCAGAAAAAAGAUGAUGGUGAACCCAGAGAAAGGAAGACAGUGCACCCAGAGUAAAGUUGAUGGUAAACCCAGAAAAAAAGACGAUGGUGAAAUCAGAGAAAACACAACAGUGCACCCACAGAGAAUAUGACAGUGAACCUAGAGAAAAUACGACAGCGAACCCAAAGGCAAUAAGACAAUGAACCCACCCAGAGGGAUGAUGACAGUGUACCCAGAGAAUAGAUGGUGGUGCACCCAGAGAAAAGACCAUGGUGAACCCAGAGCAAAGACGACAGUGAACCCAGAGAAAAGAUGACAGUGAACCCAGAGAAAAGACGACAGUGAACCUAAUGAAAAGACGACUGUGAACCCAGAGCAAACACAACAGUGAACCCAGAGAAAAGGCGACAGUGAACACAGGGAAAAGUUGACAGUGAACACAGAGAAAAUACAACAGAAAAACGCAGAGAAAGAUGAUGGUGCACCCUGAGAGAAGAUGACAGUACACCCAGAGAAAAGACGAUGAUGCACAUAGAGAAAAGAAGACAGUGCACCCAGAGAACAUACAACAGUAAACCCAGAAAAAAGACCACAGUGAACCCAGAGAAUAUUCAACAGUGAACCCAGAGAAAAGACGACAGUGCAGCCAAUAAAAAGAUAUCAGUGCACCCAGAGAAAAGACAAUGGUGAACCCAGACAAAAGGUGAAACCAGAAAAAAGAUGACAGUAAACCCAGAGAAAAGAUGACAGUGAACCCAGAGAAAAGAUGACAGUACACUCAGACUGAAGAUGAUGGUAAACCCAGAAAAAAGAUGACAGUGAAGUCAGAGAAAAUACAACAGUGCACCCACAGAGAAUAUGACAGUGAACUGAAAGAAAAUACGACAGUGAACCCACCCAGAGAGAAAAUGAUGGUGCAUCCAGAGAAAUGAUGGUGCACCCAGAGAAAAGAUGACGAUGAACCCAGAGCAAAGACGACCGUGAACCCAGAGAAAAGAUGACAGUGAACCUAAAGAAAAGACAACUGUGAACCCAGAGCAAAGACAACGGUGAACCCAGAGAAAAGAUGACAGUGAACCCAGGGAAAAGACAAUGGUGACCCAGAGAAUAUACAACUGUGGGGCCAGAGAAAAUAUGACAGUGAACCCAGAGGAAAAAUGACAGUACACCCAGAGAAUAUACGAUAGUGAACACAGAGAAUUGACAAUGGUGAACCCAGAAAAAAGACGAGGGUGCACACAGAGAAUUGACAACGGUGAACCCAUAGAACAUACAAAGUGAACCCAGAGAAAAGAUGAUAGUGAACCCAGAGAAAAGACGACAGUGAAAACAGAGAAAAGUUGAUGGUGAACCCAGAGAAAAGACAAUGCUGAACCAAGAGAAAAUACAACAGUGAACCCAUAGAAAAGACGACAAUGUACCCAGAGAAAAAGACAAUGGUGAAUGUAGAGAAAAUUCGACAGGAACCCAGAGAAAGGAUGACAGUGAACCCAGAGAAAUGAUGAUGGCACACCCAAGAAAAUAUGACAGUGAACCCAGAAAAAAAACCAAAGAUGAACCCAGAGAAAAGAUGACGGUGCACCCAGAGAAUAGACAACAGUGAACUCGGAGAAAUUAUGACAGUGAACCCAAAGAAAAGACUACAGUGAACCCAGAGAAAAGACGACCUUGCACCCUGAGAAAAUACAACAGUGAACCCAGAGAAAAGACGAUGGUGAACCCAGAGAAAAGAUGACAGUGAACCCAGAGAAAAUACAACAGUGAACUCAGAGAACAGUGAACCCAGAGAAAAGACGACGGUGAAUCCAGAGAAAAGACAACAGUGAACCCAGAGGAAAGACGACAGUGAAUCCAGAGAAAAGAUGAUGGUGAAACCACAGAAAAGACGACAGUAAACCCAGAGGAAAGAUGACAGUGAAUCCAGAGGAAAGACGAUGGUGAACCCAGAGAAAAGACAACAGUGAACCCAGAGAAAAGACAACAGUGAACCCAGAGAAAAGACAAAAGUGAAUCCAGAGAAAAGACGACGGUGAACCCAGAGAAAAGACGAUGGUGAACCCAAAGAAGAGAUGACAGUGAACCCAAAGAAAAGAUGACAGUGAACCCAGAUAAAAGACGAUGGUCAAUGUAGAGAAAAUUUGACAGUUAACCCAGAAAAAAUAUGACCGGAAACCCAUAAAAACAACGAUGGUGAACUCAGAGAAAAGAUGAUCAUGCACCCAGAGAAAAGAUGACAGUGAACUCAGAGGAAAGACAAUUUUGCACCCAGAGAAAAUACAACAGUGAACCCAGAGUAAAGACAACAGUGAACCCAUAGAAAAGACAACAGUGAACCCAGAGAAAAGAUGACGAUGAACCCCCUAGAAAAGACGAUGGUGAACGUAGAGAAAAUUUGACAGUGAACCCCGAGAAAAGAUUACAGUGAACCCAGAGAAAGGACGAUGAUGCACCCAGAGAAUUUGACAGUGAACCCAGAAAAACGACGGUGAACCCAGAGAAAAGAUGACAGUGAACCCAGAUUAAUGAAGACAGUGCACCCAGAGAAAAGAUGACAGUGAACUAGAUAACAGACCGUGAACCAAGAGAAAAGAUGACAGUGAACCCAGAGAAAAAAAUGAUGGCACCAAGAGAAAAGAUGACGGUGAACCCAGAGAAAAGAUGACAGUGAACCCAGAGAAAAGACGAUGGCGAACCCAGAGAACAGACAUUGAACCCAUGGAAAAGACAAUGGUGAACCCAGAGAAAAUAUGACAGUGAACCCAUGGAAAAGACAACGGUGAACGUAGAGAAAAUUUGACAAUAAACUCAGAGACAAGAUGACAGUGAACCCAGAGAAAUGAUGAUGGUGCACCCAGAGAAUAUGACAGUGAACCCAGAAAAACAACGACGGCGAACCCAGAGAAAAGACGACGGUGAACCCAGAGAAAAUAUGACAUUGAGCCUAGAAAAAUGAUGACAGUUAACCCAGAGAAAAGAUGACCUUGCACCCAGAGAAAAUACAAUAGUGAACCCUGAGAAAAGAUGACAGUGAACCAAGAGAAAAUACGACAGUGAACCGAAAGAAAAGAUGACAGUGAACCCAGAGAAAAUACAACAGUGAACCCUGAGAAAAGACGACAAUGAACCCAGAGAAAAUACGACAGUGAACCCAGAGAAAAGACAACAGUGAACCCAGAGAAAAGAUGACGGUGAACCCAGGUAAAAAACGACGGUGAACCCAGAGAAAAGACGACAGUGAACCCUGAGAUAAGACGACUGUGAACUCAGAGAAAAGACAACAGUGAACCCACGGAAAAGACAACAGUGAAUCCAAAGAAAAUGUAACAGUGAACCCAGAGAAAAGACAAAGGUGAACCCAGAGAAAAGAUGAUGGUUCACCCAGAGGAAAGACGACAGUUAACCCACAGAAAAUGCAACAGUGAACCCAGAGAAAAGAUGACAGUGAACUUAGAGAAAUGUUAAUGGUGAACUCUGAGAAAAGACGAUGUGGAACCCACAGAAAAGAUGAUGGUUCACUCAGAGAAAAGGCAACAGUGAACCCAGAGAAAAGACAGUGCACCCUGAGAAAAGACGACAGUGGACCCUGAGAAAAGCCUCAGAAAGCUAUCCAGGACAAAAUCCAUCCUGCAAUCAGAUGCCCCACAGUUAGUGACAUUUCUGACACUGGUGGAAGUUUCUUGUUCAUUUGAUCUUUGAUUUAUGCAAAGAUCUGGUUGUACCUGGAAGACGGGAAGAGUGGGGACCACAGUUCAUAACCAUUCUGAGGAAGUUUGCCUUUAUUCAUUUACUGCUACAUCCACACAGCUCACAGCAUGACAAAAUCUUGUCAAUGACCAAGGAUGACACUAGGAAGAUAAUGUAAUUUUCAAAUGUGGUUUUCCUGAAACCAAGUCAACUAUAGCUGAUAUGUUUCAUUUCAUUGAUUAAUGUUUACAUGGGAAAAACCAAUAUUAUACUUUACUGAACUUUGUGUAAUUGUUCCGAUUUUUUGAUAUCUGUUUGACUUACCAUGGGGUUGACAUAAUGAAUUUAUUGCACAUUGUUCAAAAGGAACCAGGAGGUUUUUGUCAGCACUGUAAUGUAAAUUCCUUUGCAGAUGGUAACUGUAGAUGGAAAAACUUUUGCUAUAAAAUGAAAUGCUUCCUUAAAUCAGACAUUUUGGUCAAGUAGCUUGACUCAGUACAGGUAGGGAGAUAUUUAAAUAUAAAAUACAAUGAAAGAAGCCUAAAUAUUUAGAAUCUUUGUUUAGAUCCUGUAAGUAACUAAUAAUCCAUAAGCAAUGCAAUAUUGCUCUAUUGGGUCCUUUUGACAUUUAUUUCAUCAUAUAGCUUUCCAUAUUGAAUAAAUUUACAGAUUUAAUUUAUAUAACUUGAACCUAUGAAGCAAUGGAUAUUUCUGCGGUUUAAUGUCUUGUGAUACAGAACUCUUGAAAAAAUUUAUGUUUUAUAAAAUCAAGCUUUAAGUGAAAAAUGAAGAAAUAAAGUUAAAUGUGUUACUUUUUUAAAAGAAGUUCUAGUGAUCUACUGCAGAGCAUGCUGACGACAGUCAAUAAUAAUGUAUAUUUCAAAAUUGCUAAAAUAACAUAUUUUCAAUGUUUUCUUCACAAAAAAAGAUGUCUGUGCAGUAAUAAGUUAUUUAGCUUGAUUCUAUCAUUCCACAAUGAAAACAUAUAUCAAAACUUCACAUUGUACCUAAUAAAUAUAUACAAUUAUUGUUGGUUAAAAUUUUUUUGAAAGAGGCAAGACUAAGCUGCUGCGAAUAGGGAUGCAGAGUGAGCGGCACAACGGCAAAGAGCAAGGGUCAGUGUCAGCGUCAAGACAGCGCCCUCUAACCGUGGCUGGGUGCACAGGGAGGCUGCGGGUACAGCUGACAAAGCCUAUGAUUUUAGCUGGGUGUGGGGGCGUGCCCGUAAUCCCAGCUACUGGGGAGGCUAAGGCAGGAGCAUCAUUUGAACCUGGGAGGUGGAGGUUGCAGUGAGCCGAGAUUGCGCCACUGCACUCCAGCCUGGGUGACACAGUGAGAAUCUGACCAAAAAAAA